rnacentral:rRNA from 1 species
GGUGAACGCUGGCGGCGUGCCUAACACAUGCAAGUCGAUCGGAGCAGCAAUGCUUAGAGGCGAACGGGUGAGGAAAACGUAGUAACCAACCCUUUAGACUGGGAUAGCCACUGGAAACGGUGGGUAAUACCGGAUAAGCUCGAGAGAGGAAAGGCAGAGAAGCGCUAAAGGACGGAACUGCGCCCCAUCAGAUAGUUGGUGAGGUAAAGGCUUACCAAGUCAAAGACGGGAAACCGACGUGAGAGCGUGUACGGUCACAAGGGCACUGAGAGACGGGCCCUACUCCUACGGGAGGCAGCAGUGGGGAAUAUUGGACAAUGGACGAAAGUCUGAUCCAGCGACGCCGCGUGGAGGAAGAAGUCCUUCGGG